rnacentral:rRNA from 1 species
UACGAAGGGGGCUAGCGUUGUUCGGAUUUACUGGGCGUAAAGCGCGCGUAGGCGGACAUGUAAGUUGGGGGUGAAAGCCCGGGGCUCAACCCCGGAAUUGCCUUCAAGACUGCAGGUCUGGAGGGCAGGAGAGGCGAGCGGAAUUCCGAGUGUAGAGGUGAAAUUCGUAGAUAUUCGGAGGAACACCAGUGGCGAAGGCGGCUCGCUGGACUGAUACUGACGCUGAGGUGCGAAAGCGUGGGGAGCAAACAGG